GAGAAAUGUUUUUCGUGGUAAAAAUGUUGCUGUUCCAACCAUUAAAAAGUCAAAUCAAAACUUUUAGCCAAACUCGAAUAUCAAUUAAAAAAUAAAUACACGCCCCGGGCCACACAUGUCUUUUCAAUACCACUUCUGUGACGUGAGUUUGAUAACUGCUUGUGCAUUUUUCUGCAGUCUAAAGUUUCAUGUUGUCUGCACAUGUACUCUCUUUGGAGACUCCAUUUGCCUCCUGACAAAAUGAUGAAGACAUACACUGAUUGAUUUACAUAUUGUAUAUGACUGUUGACAUAACUUUUUAGUCUUCAAUAUUUGAGUGAGUCAUGCUUGGAAAUGACAACUGAUAAAUUCUUAUUGCCCAAUCCAGACAAUCCUUGAGUUGUUUUGUUUUUCAUUUGCCCAACCUUUUACUCACUCAACAUUUUGUUUUUUGUACGCAACCCUAUUUUUUAUUAGUUUUACAAUACGAAAUUGAAGGCACAGACAAUACGACUAAUAAAGUCCCAAUUAAAUUAAGUCCUGCCAUACU